UACGUAGGGGGCAAGCGUUGUCCGGAUUUAUUGGGCGUAAAGAGCUCGUAGGCGGUUCGAUGAGUCGGCUGUGAAAUCUCCACGCUUAACGUGGAGGGGUCAGUCGAUACUGUCGUGACUCGAGUCCGGUAGGGGAGAAUGGAAUUCCCGGUGUAGCGGUGAAAUGCGCAGAGAUCGGGAGGAACACCCGUAGCGAAGGCGGUUCUCUGGGCCGGUACUGACGCUGAGGAGCGAAAGCGUGGGGAGCAAACAGG
rnacentral:rRNA from 1 species